rnacentral:pre_miRNA from 1 species
CAAGUACUCCCUCUGUCCGGAAUUACUUGUCAUCAAAAUGGAUGUGUCUAGAACUAAAAUACAUCUAGAUACAUCCAUUUGAAUGACAAGUAUUUUCGGAUGGAGGGAGUACAAG